AGCAGCCGCGGUAAUUCCAGCUCCAAUAGCGUAUAUUAAAGUUGUUGCAGUUAAAAAGCUCGUAGUUGAAUUUCGGGAUUAGUAAGUUGGUCGUGCCUCUGGUAUGUACUGGCUUUACUGGUUCCUCCUUCUUGAAGAACUGUAAUGUCAUUAAUUUGGUGUUGCAGGGAAACAGGACUGUUACUUUGAAAAAAUUAGAGUGUUUAAAGCAGGCUAACGCUUGAAUACAUUAGCAUGGAAUAAUGAAAUAGGACGUUUGAUCCUAUUUUGUUGGUUUCUAGGAUUGACGUAAUGAUUAAUAGGGAUAGUUGGGGGCAUUAGUAUUCAAUUGUCAGAGGUGAAAUUCUUGGAUUUAUUGAAGACUAACUACCGCGAAAGCAUUUGCCAAGGAUGUUUUCAUUAAUCAAGAACGAAAGUUAGGGGAUCGAAGACGAUCAGAUACCGUCGUAGUCUUAACCAUAAACUAUGCCGACUAGGGAUCGGAUGAUGUUAAUUUUUUAAUGACUCAUUCGGCGCCUUA
rnacentral:rRNA from 1 species